ACUGCCCCGGGGAGAGACUGCUCGUGCCCGUUGUCUCCCAGUGCUAACCGGAACACUCCUCAACCUGGAGUCAGAAGGGCCAAGUUAAAAAUGAGGACCUGCGUUGACCAACCUGCGGGGUGGGACAAGUGGCGCCCAACGUGUGCAGCCUGAGUACGAGGGGUCCAGUGAAGAAGCCAAUUGAAGUGAAAAAAGAAGAGAAAAAAAGUAGCUACUAAAGUUUAAAAGAAGUUAUAAGGAGUCGACUGCAUGAGAACAUGCUGCAUAAUACAAGACUUGGGAAAGCAAUUCAUCCAUCGGGGUGCCAGAUCGCCUGAGUACAUCAGAGACAACAACCGACAACCUGAAUCAAAAGAUAAGAAGACUCCACCUAUGUUCCUGCAAACGGAUAAAUGAUAUCCGUCCGUCAUUUAACACCAAAAAUAGUCCUCUUUCUACUUGGGGGCAGAUUAAAAAGCUCACUGUGUCUACUGUUGCUUUAAUUAAAAAAGUACAUACAGCC